rnacentral:lncRNA from 1 species
AUUUGAUAUUUGAAUAAACUGAAAUAAAUUAUUUGAAAAGUUUAGCCAAAAAUAUUAAAUUGAGGUCAAAGUUAAUAUUAAAAGAGGAAGAAGGUCAAACACACCACAAUAGUGUGAAAGCAGUUCCAACAUCGAGAAAUAUUUUAACGUCUAUUACAGUCUUGGUCCCGUCUGACAAUGCCUUUAGAGCUCAAAACUAAACAUAACCUAUUUACCUGUCAUCUUCAACUUGAAAUUGAUUUUUCUUUUUUCACCCUGUUAAGUGCUCUAACUUUUCCAUUGUCACAUAGCUGAGCUUUUUCAGUUUCCUGCACAAUGUAUUUUUGCUAUAUUUUCCCCUGAUCUUCAACAUUUUUACUAAAGAAGUAAUGUAAAUGGUUCUUAUGCAGACUGUGUCACUUACCUUGAGCGCAAACACAGCUAAGUGGACACACUGGGAUAAUGAUACCUCCUGCAGGAUGGGGGGUGUAACAUUCCAGUGAUAUGGAAACAGAAGAUAUUUUAAAUUACGAGAGAUCAACCUGCAGAAUGCAUCAAACAAUGUGCGACACACUGCUUUUCCUAUUUUAGUUGCACAAAUCCAGACAUGCUCAGAUAAAACUCUCUCUUUUAUAUAGAGUAUUGACAAAACAACGCCAUUUAUCUAGUGCACAACAAUACAUUUUUUAUAACAAGGAGUAAAACAAAGACCUAUUAAAAAGAAGAAUCUAUUGUGGAAUGUUUCAUAUGCUUGAACAUCCAAUAGCUGGUAAUUAAUUAUAUGUGAACCCAAUAAAAAUAAUUCCUACAAUAUUUGCUAAUUUGGGAAAAAAAAUAUUAAAGGGACACUACAGUCACCAAAACUACUACAGCUUAUUGUAUCUGUUUUGGUGAGUAGAAUAAGUGCCUCCAGGCUUUUUACAAUAAACACUGUAUUUUUGGAUAAAAUUCAGUGUUUACAUUACAGCCUCGUGAUACCUCCACUGGCCACACCUCUGGCUGCUAGAGGUGCUUCCUGGGGCAGUGCUCCACAUUGUGACUGACAUUCAGUGUCUUCACCCUCUGCAUGCAGACACUGAACUUUCCUCAUAGAGAUGCAUUGAUUCAAUGUAUCUCUAUGAGAAGAUGCUGAUUGGCCAGGGUUAUGUUUGACUUGUGUUGGAUCUGCCUCUGAUUUGCCUCUUUGACAGUCUCAGCCAAUCCUAUGGGAAAGCAUUGUGAUUGGCUCACAGAAUCACUUCUGAUGAUGUCAGGCAUGCAGGCAGAUCAGGGACAGUGGCAACAGCUGCAGAUUAUAUUACAAGUAAGAUUUUACUAAAUUUAGGGAGGCAAGGGGGAUCAGAGGGCUAGAUGGUGGUUUUAACACUAUAGGGUCAGAAAUACAUGUUUGUGUUCCUGACCCUAUAGGGUUCCUUUAAAUGCAUUAAAAACAAGUAUGCACACAAAAUACCAAGUGUUUUCCAGUUGUUCCUAAAUGUGUAAAGUGUGCAAUAAAUAUAAGUACAAUUUAUUUAUGUUCUGGUUUUUAGGUUCUAGUAUUAAAAAAUAGCCCUAGAAUUUAUAUGGAUUACCAGCAUCUGAUGAAAGGCAGAAAUAAAUAAAUGCUUUUUGUAUUUUUAUUUCUUGGACAUGUUUUAACUUUGUCAGAAUUUUAAUGUAGAUACUAAGUUUCAAUAAUGGCGUGUGAGGGAUACUUUAUAUAUUUUAAUAUAUGUGGAUAAAUUUAAAAAAAUACAAUAAGCGAAAAUAUUGGUACAAAUAUGAAACUGUGAAAAUGAUUGUCAUCAACACACCAAUUUUAAAAAGGAAAUGUCACUUUUCAUUAUUUCUAAUAACGGCCUCGAUUUAAUACUGAUGUUUUAAAGUAAUUUAAUAUUUGUG